rnacentral:rRNA from 1 species
AUGAAAACUCUGCCAUCCACCUGCAGCCAGCAUCCCGGCCGCCAACCUGCCUCCCGCCUCGGGCGGACCUGCCUCUCCCUGUCCCUCGCUUCCCCAAUUCCUAGUGGUCCAAACCCCAGACCCUCACGCCCGCCGCCAGAAACCAGCCGCCACCUGACUUCAAAUCCUCCAGGGCCCCGAGCGCCACCGCCUGACUUCAAAUCCUCCACGCAUCGCCGCCUGACUCCAGAGCCCUGCCGCACGCACUUCGACCGCGCGCCCGAGUGGACCACCGCCGAGGCCCUUGCGCUCGUCACCGCCGUGGACGACGACGGCUGGGCCCGCUCCGUCUCCGCCUUCCAGAAGUGGGCCAUCGUCACGGAGAACAUCGCCAUCUCCGAGGCCAGAGGGUCACCCUCGAGGCGCAGGGGGAGGGAGGCCGGCGAGUGCAGGCAGAAGUGGGAGGCACUCGUGGCUGAGUACGGGGCUGUGCCGCGCAGGGAGGCACAGACCGAUGGGAGGUACUGGCGCAUGGGCGCCGCGUCCAGGAGGAAGACCGGGCUCCCUGCAGAGUUCGAGGCCGAGGUGUAUGGCAUCAUGGACGCGCUGAUCCGGGUCGAUGAGGCGCUCCCUGGCGGCUCUCGGGUCGAUGCUGCAGUUGAAGAAGAGGAGGAGAAUAAUGCUGUGGAAGAGGCGGAUGAUGACGGGAGUGAGGAGGAGAUGCAGGUGGAUCAUGGAAAUGUGAAUGCUUCUGAUGAUUUGGUCUGUAGGAUUUCACAUAUUACCCGGUACGUCGAGGGAAAAGGCUAUGCCAAGACUGUAAGAGGGAUGUGA